rnacentral:lncRNA from 1 species
CCGAGGAAGCGCCGGAGAGGACCCGCUGGCGCUAAGGGACACCCACAUCAGCCCGUCCCCGGAAGCCCCGGCUAGGCCAUCGCUGGGGAAGAGGAGAGCCGGAGCCCGGCUCCCAGGAACAGGACUCGCCGCUAAGAAGGGUUUCCACGGCGCUGACUCUGCUUUACGGCCGCCUCUGUGUGGGGGGUCCCCUCCUCCGCCCGAGGGGCGCCGGUGCCCGGCGCGAAGAGGGGCGCAUGGGGCGGCGUUUCAGGAGGCUUUCGGCUGCUCCUUGCUCCCCCGCCGGAUGCUGCCUGAGCCGUUUUGGCUGGUUUUUUUCGCCGGCGAUGAAGGCUCUGUCUUGAAGAUGGACAUGAUCUGGUUUUUAUUCCUGUCUCUGGUGCCGGUAUACAGCAGGGGACAAGGGGUGUACGGUAAGAGACGUUGUCGCUGUUUGCGAAGGAGGGUUGAGGGGUGGGGGGCGAGGGCGCAGACGGCGGCGAUGGGAUCAAAGUUAAAAAGCACCUGCAGGAGAAAGUAAAUUAUGCCGCUGAACCUCGUCUCAGCCUGAGCGGAGAGACUGACGCAGGAAUAGGGCUUCUAGCGCCUGUAGCUACUUCAUACAUUCCUCGCCGUAACCUCUGGCCGCCUCCCAUGUACGAGUCCGCCGAGAUGGCACGCAGGGACUGUCGGUGGGACUGCCGCCUGGCGAGCGACUGGAGCCCCGGCCCCUAUUUCCCCUCUCCCCACCCGCCUCGCAUGGGGUCGCCACGCUGAUGCCGGUGGGGGCGGCUCCGGGAGCACCUUCGAGUUGCAUUUUCUUUGGGGCAGGGGGCGGACGGAGGAUGCCUUCUCGGUGAUGCGCCUGCGGGUUUCCUUGCUCUCAAGAUCACGGACACGGGGAAGCAGGGAGACGGGCAGCCGGGCUGCCCGGUCUCGUUCCCUACGUGUCGGGGGCUGUCCGCUCCCGCCACCGCCACGGCUCCACCCGGCUCGGCGGGGUCAGCUACCUGCUGCUCCCCACGGCCAGCCCCGCCGGGCUCCCCGGGGGGGCGAGGCGAGGCUGGUUUUGUACCUUGUGGAACUUCGCUGCCGAUUUUCUUCUUAAAGUGAUGUAGAUGGGUGGGUGGUGGUCUGUGGCAGAGAUGAUGCCGAGCAGAUUGAUUUCUUUUCUUCGUUUUUUAUUAUUAUUAUUUUUGCAUUUAGGGAGCUUACUUCCUCUCCUUGUUUGCAGGCAAGGUGGCAAAUGGCGAACUCGGGUGGUCUCCUCAUGAGAGGUCUGACUUCCGCAGCCCCUCAGUGCGAGGGCAGAGAUGAGGGAUGACACCCGUGCCGCUGAGCACAAGCCCCGGGUUGAAAGAGCAUCCGGGAUUUACUUUAGCCAGACAUGCAGCCCCCCUUUCCCUCUCACAACUCUCUCUGAAUUCUUGCUUUAC